AUCCAGCCGACGAGUCUAAAAUAGUACGAAACGCGCGUCAAACUAGAU
rnacentral:hammerhead_ribozyme from 1 species